rnacentral:tmRNA from 1 species
CAAGAAAAUAGGGUGCUGGCGUCCUGUGUAGCGUGCGACUGCGCGACACAGGUGGCGAGACUCAAAUCAGACCGCUAAACAUGUAGAUCUGCCCGAACAAGGCUUGCGGACGGGGGUUCAAAUCCCCCCAGCUCCACCA